GUAGGUUUAGCUUGCAUACAUUUUAGAAAACAUUUGCUAAUGGGUUCCACUGGGACCCAUGUAAUGCACAAGAAAAUAUAUCUAGCCAUCAACUGUACAAAAAAAAAAAAAUAGAAGGUAUUUAAUGUGCACCCUAUCUUAAUAUAUUUACUCAUUUUAGUUGGAGGUUGCAGCUAGAGGCUGGAUUAACCCUAUUAUAAACAUAGCAGUUUCUUU